GGGGGGGGGGGGGGGGGGGGGGGGGGGGGGGGGGGGGGGGGGGGGGGGGGGGCUUGCGCCGGGGUUCGGCGGCGGACGGGUGGGUAGUGCCUGGGAAUCUGCCUGGUAGUGGGGGGUGACGUCCGGCAGCGGGCGCUAAUACCGCCUACGUCCUGAGGGCGAAAGUGGGGGAUCUUCGGACCUCCCGCUAUCGGAUGAGCCUAGGUCGGAUUAGCUAGUUGGUGGGGUAAAGGCCUACCAAGGCGACGAUCCGUAACUGGUCUGAGAGGAUGAUCAGUCACACUGGAACUGAGACACGGUCCAGACUCCUACGGGAGGCAGCAGUGGGGAAUAUUGGACAAUGGGCGAAAGCCUGAUCCAGCCAUGCCGCGUGUGUGAAGAAGGUCUUCGGAUUGUAAAGCACUUUAAGUUGGGAGGAAGGGCAGUAAGUUAAUACCUUGCUGUUUUGACGUUACCAACAGAAUAAGCACCGGCUAACUUCGUG
rnacentral:rRNA from 1 species